AUUGAACGCUGGCGGCAGGCCUAACACAUGCAAGUCGAACGAGUGGCGGACGGGUGAGUAAUGUCUGGGAAACUGCCUGAUGGAGGGGGAUAACUACUGGAAACGGUAGCUAAUAACGCAUACCAUCGGAUGUGCCCAGAUGGGAUUAGCUAGGAGGUGGGGUAAAGGCUCAACAAGGCGACGAUCCCUAGCUGGUAUGCGAGGAUGACCAGCCACACUGGGACUGUGACACGGUCCAGACUCCUACGUGAGGCAGCAUGGGGGAAUAUUGCACAAGGGGCGCAAGCCUGAUGCAGCCAUGCCGCGUGUAUGAAGAAGGCCUUCGGGUGGUAAAGUACUUUCAGCGGGGAGGCGUUACCCGCAGAAGAAGCACCGGCUAACUCCGUGCCAGCAGCCGCGGUAAUAC
rnacentral:rRNA from 1 species